GAUGAACGCUGGCGGCGUGCUUAACACAUGCAAGUCGAACGGUGAACGAGGGAGCUUGCUCCCUCCGGAUCAGUGGCGAACGGGUGAGUAACACGUGAGCAAUCUGCCCUGGACUCUGGGAUAAGCGUUGGAAACGACGUCUAAUACCGGAUACGAGGCGUGGGGGCAUCCCCAACGCCUGGAAAGAACUUCGGUCCAGGAUGAGCUCGCGGCCUAUCAGCUAGUUGGUGAGGUAACGGCCCACCAAGGCGACGACGGGUAGCCGGCCUGAGAGGGUGCCCGGCCACCCUGGGAUUGAUACACGGCCCAGACUCCUACGGGAGGCAGCAGUGUGGAAUAUUGCACAAUGGGCGCAAGACUGAUGCAGCAACGCCGCGUGAGGGACGACGGCCUUCGGGUUAUAAACCUCUUUUAGCAGGGAAGAAGCGAAAGUGACGGUACCUGCAGAAAAAGCACCGGCUAACUACGUGCCAGCCGCCGCCGUAACAC
rnacentral:rRNA from 1 species